CAUCGCCACUACCCCCCCUCGCCCCCCGAAUCCCCAUCAUCAACAUGAAAAAAAAAAGAAGAAAAAAAACUUGCACACUCUAUGAGAGCUCAUCUGUGUAUGCACUUUUCUGUUUGCUGCUUUAUGGGAAAGUUGUGUCUCUCUCUCUUUUUCUCUCUCCUCUUUUUUUUUCUCCCUGCCCAUCUUUGCGUCUAACAUGUGCCUUGGAUGUGCUCAUGCUUUUGGCACAGAACGGCCGCAGCGCGCCGCCUUAUGCGGGUGAAUGGCAGUAGCAGUUUUUUAAAGUCUUACCCCCUUAAACGAUCAACAAACCCGACAUCCUAUCCACCAACCCAGCAAAUUAUACGUCUGGGAUUUUGAGUGCCCCCCACCUUUCCCUCCGCAAGAGGGACAUUUACCUUUAUACCAUACGAUUCACAUGGACAUCUCUGUUCCUCUGCUUCUGGCACCUUGGACACUUUCUGCUGCCCUCGCAGUCAUCUGGUUGGACGGUGAGGAAUCAUGGCGAAAAGGCAGCAACUGCUCGCUGCACGAAGCAGGGAGAGGAAUCCAUCACAGGAUCUCAGGGAUUUUGCUCUUCACUGAACCAGAGUAAGGUUCGAUGAUGAUCGGGAGCUUUAAGUGACCAAACCCUCAAAACUGGAGACAUGAGGAUAGACGCACAAUCUCUAAGGUGGAGGAGUUAUUUGGAUGAAGAAGGAACGAAGCUAAUUUUUGGCCAGAAGAAGCUGUGGGAUUCACUGGACUCUCAAAACAUGGCAACAUCGCAAAACAGAUGAUACAACGCUUUUGUAUGAAACUAUACUUAUACUAGGAAAAUUAUGUAUUUUUAUAUGCUGGCAAGAAAAAAAAUACCAACAGACUCAAAAUUCAUGAAAUGGAUGCAACUAAAUCUUGACUUUCGGCUGCUCAGCAAACAUAUCUCAAAUCCUAGAACAACUGAGGAGAAAAUGAACAAUUACAGAUUGAAUAGAAUCACAAUAGUGGCAAAGAAUCGACGAUGAAAGGCAGCUCUAUAUCUGCCUGUGACCGCUGCAGCAACUGGAAGAUGUCCUUGUGAACCAAGCUUUCAACAAGGAGCCCUAAUAAAGAAACAUUGUUAAAGAAUUUAGUUCUAAAGAGAAAUUUCCUAAAUUCUGUGAACCACUGAAAGAAAAAAAGUCUCUUUUGGGUCCACAGCCAUUUUGUCAGACCAUCCCUAGAUACUGAUUUCAAGGUACAGUACAUUGGGAAGAAUAUAGGGCCCAGUUAUCAUGGUAUACAGUUGUUUCAUAUUAGGGUUAGGGUUUUCUUGGUACCAUGGCAGUUUUCAUGGGUCAGCUAUAAUAUAUUCAAGUUAGGAAGUGACAUAUUUGUUAUAGACCCAAAAGAGCAUAGUUUUGGAAUGACCAGCCCAAUACUUGGACCAUAAAUGUAUAGUGGUGGAUGUUCUUUUUCUGGGUGUAUCAUUAAAAUAAGUGGUCCUCCUAAUUGUCAAUCAUUCUGUUAAAUUGUUCAUGUAAAGUCGUCCUACGUGCUCAUACCCAUCUUCACUUACAGUGCUAGUGGUGAGUCUGACAUAGUGGAAAAAUUAAAAAUCUUUCAGAAAGUAAGCUUGUAUGAGUGAUGUAAACAGCAACUUUUGAAAAGAGCGUGCACGAGGAGAAAUGGGCUGGUGCACGUGUUUAAUAUGCAUUCCCUCUCGGGAGCGGGUACAAGGUUGUGCAUGUGCAUUUUUUUUCAAAAGUGCAAAGGACGGGUCUUUUACAUUUUCCGCGAAAAUCCCCCACUAUACCUUUAAUCCAAAUGAAAACCUGUAAGACGAGGUUUGCUAUGCUUCUUCUGUGGUAAAACAAAUAAAAUCUGAGAAUCUCUUAAGUCGGGAUUACCGAGAAGUUCUUAUCAUGAUAUCGUUCAAGCUUGUAUAAAAAGUAUUACCAUGAGCUCUGUUUUACUUUUAUAAACACAUUGAAAUUUUGUAAACUAUUUUAAUCAAUUUUACUCUAUAAAGCACUUUAAAAAAUGAAUGAAACUGAUUGUUUACUGUUGACCAAACUGAUAAAAUGUCCAUUACUUCGUUCCAACAGGCAUCAGUUUGUUUAACACAUAAGGAAGCCUUCUGAAAUGUGUUGAAAAUUAUUUCCCUCAUUAAAGCCUUCUUUGUGUAAAAAUGACUGAGUUUAUCAAGGAGAUUUCUUGACAAGUAAAUAAAGAUUUUCCUUCACUGAAA